rnacentral:snoRNA from 1 species
UGCCAACACACCAAACAGUAAAUCCUCUUUUGCAACCCAGAGCUCGUUGUUUAGUAUGAGUUUGGAGGAACAUCUAAGAAGGAAUACG